GUCUUGCUGGAGAUCCCUGUGUGCCUGAGGCCUUCUGAAGUGGCUGAGUUAGUGCUCCUGCUGACCCUGUCUGUCUGUAGGAGUUUGCAGAUCUCACCAGCAGCAGAGGCAGAGGGACUGGAAGGGGCAGCUUUCUCAGCGCUGACAGAAGUAGCUCUUCCUACAGCAGGGAAGAAGGCAGUGUAAGGGGCUGGGGGAUGCCCAGACCCAUGUGUUUCCCAUGUCUUCUAACAGUGGUCUAUGCUAUUCAUGAACAACUUCUCAAUUGCUGUAAAUAACCAUCACAAAUGGUGCUGAUUAAUGGAAUGGUAAAUAAUUAGGAAGAAUGGAACAGUUACACAAGACUAUUGCCUUCUCUAACAACCAUGCACCUAAGAAGGAAUUAUAAAGCCCAAAUGUAGAGGGUGAAGGAUGGUAUUUGGAGAAGCUCUGUGGAGAAAAAUGGCUGAGGACUGCUUUGUGAGAUAUUUUAAGUACCUUUUUGCCUAAAAGACUGUGAGUAAAUGGAAAUUCAUUAGCAAACAUUCUUGUCUGUGAUGUUAAGCUUAGGGCUUAGGGAAGGCUUCAGGGUUUUAAUACACACUUCCAGGAACAUUGAAAAAUAAGAAUCAGCAGCAUUCUUACACCAAAGGUCAGCAAUUACAGUCUGCAAAGCAGACAAUGAGAAGCAAGCUUGAGCCAAAGAAGGUCUGUCCUUAACUGUUGUUGUUGGCUUUCAGUUGUUGUAGGCUUAAUGCUCAGAAUACUUCCAGUCCAGUUGUGUUCCCAAAUUCCUCGGUACUGAGGAUAACAACUGGGGAGUGGUUAACUGAGGGGAAGGGAGCGUUGGGGUUGGUGGGUUGGAUUGUAUUGUUUGGUGUGUGUGAUGUUGUUUCAUUUAUGCAAUCUAAAGCUACUUAGUGUUUCAAAUGUACUCCUCGAACUCCAGAUGUCAGUAUCAAGCAAUGUGUUCUGCCACACCUUAAAUCCAGGGCCCGGACUUCUGAGUAAUAAGAAAAAGCAACAGACUCAAGGUGAAGAAAUUCUUUGGUUUGACCAUGUUUCCAAAAACUGCAAAAUACCACUAGUUGGUGAUAAUUUUCU
ensembl:lncRNA